rnacentral:rRNA from 1 species
AACGAACGCUGGCGGCAUGCCUAACACAUGCAAGUCGAACGAGACCUUCGGGUCUAGUGGCGCACGGGUGCGUAACGCGUGGGAAUCUGCCCUUGGGUUCGGAAUAACAGUUGGAAACGACUGCUAAUACCGGAUGAUGACGUAAGUCCAAAGAUUUAUCGCCCAAGGAUGAGCCCGCGUAGGAUUAGCUAGUUGGUGAGGUAAAGGCUCACCAAGGCGACGAUCCUUAGCUGGUCUGAGAGGAUGAUCAGCCACACUGGGACUGAGACACGGCCCAGACUCCUACGGGAGGCAGCAGUGGGGAAUAUUGGACAACGGGCGAAAGCUUGAUCCAGCAAUGCCGCGUGAGUGAUGAAGGCCUUAGGGUUGUAAAGCUCUUUUACCCGGGAUGAUAAUGACAGUACCGGGAGAAUAAGCACCGGCUAACUACGUG